GAUUGGUCGCUGGCUGCGGCUGCGGGGUUGGAGCCAGGGCUGCGGCCCUGCACGCGUCCCCGGGGCCGGGAAAGAGGCUCCUCCUUGCGGCUGAGCCAGGGGCCCGGUUUCCGCGGUGGAGGGACCGGUUGGGUUCCGGGAGGCGCGGUGCUUCAGCUGCUGGAAAUCUGGCUGAGUGCAGAACCGGACGCGGCUGGGAGCGCUGGGCAGCCCAGGCGGGCGGGGGGAUCUCGGGCUGGCGGGGCCCGGGGCGCGCGGAAUGCGAAGCCUCGGAACACCCCUUGUGCCAGGCGCUGGGCCGGAGCGGAUCGGCGCCCGCGGGGAGCAGGCCGGGGCCCAGUUCCCGCCAGCCGGGCUUGCGGGGGGAGAGAGCGCGCACCUUGGCGCGGAGAGUCACAGCCACCGCUGCUGAACGUGCGGCGGAGAGGAGCUGGGUGACUCGUAAAGUAGCCCAGACCCAUCUCCUGCCCUAAGGGUUAUGGACAGCGCUGAGUGCGGGGUUGUUUUACAAACACAGAUGCUGAACAGGGUUAGCAUCCCACCCCUAAUAAAUAAUUGCACAUGACAAAACAGCGUAAUGAGGAAAUAAUAAAAAGCAGCUUGGUUCCAGAGAGGUUGACAGACCUUUAACUAAUCAUAGAAGCCCCUGUACAUUCACCUCUGCUGUUACUUUCCUGCUUCCCACUAUAUUUUGUUUUAAUCUUACUAAUGCAACCCUGUUUGUGGCUUUUAAUUUUAUUCUGAGGUGUAUCUUCUCAUUUUUGCCAUGAAAUGUUUAUUACAGUCAUGCUGCAUAAGAAGCCCAUCAUCCCAUGCUUGUGCAUGUAAGGCAGAAGCUGCACUGCAGAGCAACUGAAGGACUGCAUUGCUGGCCACUUGUAUGGUACUGAAAACUUAUUACGAACUGAGGUAUAUGCUGCAGCAGAGAAAGUAGAAGUCCUUUUAGGAUGCACUUUCAGAGCAGCAGGGGAGAUCAUGAAGAUAAAUGUACUUGCCUGAAAAUUGACUGUAACUAUGAGAGAAGAGGCUGCAGUGACAGCAAACGAUUGGUAGUCUGAAGGUGCCUCUCCAUCUUGCCCCAUGGUUUGAAGAUAUGCGCCGUACGGUGCUCCAUUGUUGGAGACUCCCAAGCAGUAACUCAGUGUGGAGGCAGGUGCUGAGAAGGCGGAUCCAACACAGUUCUGAGGACAGGGUCACCAAAGACUGAAUCUGCUCUGAAAGCAGGUAAUCAAGAAUGUCUAUAAGGAGAGAUUCAGAAGCAAAUAUAAAAAUCGAUGGGCACUCCAGACUUGGAAGCACCUCCACUUCUGCAGAUAGGUUUUCUUUGUGGCUGGUUUCCUGCUCUUCAGGAGUACACAGUGAACUUCAGGAGAGGAGACCAAUUUUAUUCCCAAGAACCAUCAAGGAGUUAGGCCUUAAGAUGCAGGGAUGAGAGACUUGGGUGGAUUAUGGUGCUGGAGUCCUGUGUGAGGAGUUCCAUUGAGAAAGAAAGGCAAAUAGGGGUUCACAGAGACAGGCAAAGCAUAUCUGGGAACCACACUUGCCUUGGCCAGGAUUGUACUAUCAGGUCUUGCUUCAGUUUGCUUAGAGCCUUGAGGAUCAGUGGUGUUGGAGGACAGGCAUACAAGAGCGUGCAAGGCAAAGGGAAUAGGAGAGCAGCCCCCAUGGGGUUGUGGCCAUGGGGGUUGUGGCCCCGCACACGUGCACCAUAGCAGAAUCAUCAGCACUUCAUGAUGAAUGGUGUUGCAAACAGAUCCACCUCCAGGAGGCCUCAAGCCUGGCAAAUGCUUUGAAAGACAAAGUAGCUGAGUUCCCACUCAUUGUUCUGGUGGAAGUGCCUGCUCAGGGAGUCUGCUACUGUAUUUAAUAGACCCAGCAGGUAGAUCAUUGAGAUACCUAUGCAGUGGGAUAAUGCACCAUUUCCACAGUCUCAGUGAUUCUGCACAUAAGGAUUGGGAUCUUGAUCUCCCGGGAUGAUUUGUACAGUACAUUGCGACUCUUUUGUCUGACCCACAGGCCUCAAGGAGCGCUCCCAUCGGUCUUCCCUCAGCUUGUGAGAUCUGCUUUAAAACCUGGUACAGACCUUGCUGGCUCUGAGAGUGUCAGAGGCAGCUGGAAUCCACAUUGCUGAGGGGGGGGAAAAACACUUGUGGUAGGUCUGGAAGGGUUUGAAACCUGGGUUCUUUAGCAUAACUCAAGGAGGGAAGCCACAGACAACAAUGGCUAAGGGCAGAAGGGCCUGGCUGCCCCAAGAAAGAAUAGAGGGAACCCUCCCAAAACCUCUGCUAAAGUAAAUAAAAAAAGUAAAAUAAAAAUAAAACAACAAAAAGGAAUAAAAUAAAAUACUGAGGCAGCUGAAAACUAGCAGUGGACACUACAAUGCCCCAUCUCGAACCAAGGGUGGUUGAGAAGAAACUGGAGCAAUAGCAUUGGCAUGAGGAUGUACAGAGUACAGGCACAGACUCGUAUGCACUUUUCAAGGCUGAAUCCCCCCUCUGGGAAAGAGCUGAGAAAGAAAACAAAGGAAAUUAGCUGUUGCUACCAGCUAAUCAAACAUUCACAAACCUCUUAGGACACGAAAAAUCCAAUCCUGUUCUUAAAAAAGGUAAAUUUUCUUGCUUACAGUCAUUUCCUCUCCAUCUUAUUUCCCACAGAAGUCACAGUCUCCAUUUUGUUAGUUUGCAAGUGGCUUCUAUGAAUAUGACUUCAUAGAAGAUUGACUUCCUGAAGGAAAUCACCAGCAGCUGUGAAUGAGCUCCCUAAACUAAGAUCCCAACAGUAAAAAGAAUGCAUAUACAUAUGCACACAGAAAUAAGAAUGAGAGAGAGUGUUGUUGCUAAGUUUACCCCCCACACACAUGAGCUUACUGUUGUGAGAGUUUACCAUGGCUUGACAGGAUAUAGAUACUUAGCAGAAAGUGUUUGGGAAGGUUAACAUAGUUGAAAAAUAAAUGUGCUCAUAAGAAGACUGCUGUAUUCAGUGACUGUUGUACUCCCUUUCCUCCUACAUCAGUACGAUACCUAUUAAG